CACCGUCAUCCAUGAGAAGACACAGUGUUCCAUCCAGAGGAUGUAGCAUCAAGGCGUCAUCUUAAAAGCAGAGAAAAGACUCUUACUUGACACCAGAUGCCAGUGCAUUGAUCUUGGACUUCCCAGCCUCUAGAACUGUAAACAGCCCUGGGACAAAGAACAGACUACGGGUAUUGCCUUCUUAAUCAACAAUAAAGUAUUAGUUGGCUUCCAGGCAGACACCACUGACUUUCAAGAGAAAGGCACGGGAGUAAGGAAGUAAAGAAUUCAGGUGCUGCUUGAAAAUACAACAAACUGUCUUCAGAAUACUUUUAUGUGUUGUUGAAAGAAAGCACUGCAGCUAAUAUAGCUACAAAGGAGAAACAGUUAUUCUUAAAUGUCAUCUAUUUGCUGGACCUGAACAGGAAUUCACUAUGGAGCUCAUACAACUACCACCUUCAGCUAUUAAUCAAGGAGUCAUUCAACUGAGAAAGGGGAGAUUGAGAUGUUGAAUCAUUUCUCAUUCUGUGAAGUCUACCAGAAUAACCCAUAAAGCAAAUAUCAACCUAUUUCAAUUAGAAAAAUGAAAAAUACUGAUACAGCAGACGAAUUCUGGAACUAACACUUCCACAAAUCAUUGAUAAUCCAUUUUCCAACUUCUUCAAAUUCCAGACCAUCAACAAGCUAUUCAAAACAAUAAAUGUUAAUAGUUUUGGUGGAGUUAAGCAGCAGAAGUUAAAAGCAUUGUGGAAGACAGUAUGGUGAUUCCUCAAGGAUCUAGAAGCGGAAAUACCAUUUGACCCAGCAAUCCCAUUAUUGGGAUCUCUGUCGAAGUACAGAUCAGGCAUGACCUCCCAUGGGUGUUCACGGGAAAUGGUGCCACACAUGCGCAGAACUUCCCGAGCCAGCAUCCACCACAUCAAACCCACUGAAUGUACUGUUCCAUCUGGAAGUCAAGAUUGGUGCCACCUAAGUGGGUUCCUGCUGCAAGGAACUUAAGGACAUCCUCCUUCAUUUGCAGGACAUCAAGGGCUCCGGACAUUGUGAAAGUUUCCCUUUAAGUUACGACGGGAAUCCAGAACAACGCCGUAUGGACCCCUCUGCAGGUAGCAAGGAAAAGCGCCAGUAACUUUUAAAGGCUUGUUUUGCAUAUUAUUCAGGCCUAAAUCACGGUUCUCAUAAAUUGAUUAUCAUGUCCCUUUCAUCUGUCCAUUUAUGCUUCUAAAUGGUUCUUAAUGGUUCACUAUAUUUGAAGGCCAUAACCAUUUGCUGAUGAGUUACUAGUUUAAUUUGUCACUAUUUCUCCAAUACAUAUAUGUAAGUGCUUAUCGUCUUUUAAUCCUAGAUAUUCUUCUGGAAGUAAUAAUAAAAGUUGAAAGCUGGAAGGAAAAUAA
rnacentral:lncRNA from 1 species